rnacentral:rRNA from 1 species
GCUAAGAAUAUUCCGCAAUGGACGAAAGUCUGACGGAGCGACGCCGCGUGGAUGAAGAAGGCCGAAAGGUUGUAAAGUUCUUUUGUUGGGGAAGAAUAACCAUGGGAGGGAAUGCCCGUGGGAUGACAUGAACCGACGAAUAAGCCCCGGCUAACUACGUGCCAGCAGCCGCGGUAACACGUAGGGGGCGAGCGUUGUUCGGAAUUACUGGGCGUAAAGGGCAUGUAGGCGGUCUUGUAAGCUUGGCGUGAAAGACCACGGCUCAACCGUGGGAUUGCGUUGAGAACUGCGAGGCUUGAGUGACGGAGAGGGAGCUAGAAUUCCUGGUGUAGGGGUGGAAUCUGUAGAGAUCAGGAAGAAUACCAAUGGCGAAGGCAAGCUCCUGGCCGAUGACUGACGCUGAGGUGCGAAAGUGUGGGGAUCAAACAGGAUUAGAUACCCCUGUAGUCC